rnacentral:rRNA from 1 species
GCGUCGAGCGGCGGACGGGUGAGUAACACUUAGGAAUCUACCUAGUAGUGGGGGAUAGCUCGGGGAAACUCGAAUUAAUACCGCAUACGUCCUACGGGAGAAAGGGGGCAAUUUGUUGCUCUCGCUAUUAGAUGAGCCUAAGUCGGAUUAGCUAGUUGGUGGGGUAAAGGCCUACCAUGGCGACGAUCUGUAGCUGGUCUGAGAGGAUGAUCAGCCACACCGGGACUGAGACACGGCCCGGACUCCUACGGGAGGCAGCAGUGGGGAAUAUUGGACAAUGGGGGAAACCCUGAUCCAGCCAUGCCGCGUGUGUGAAGAAGGCCUUUUGGUUGUAAAGCACUUUAAGCAGUGAAGAAGACCUAACGGUUAAUACCCGUUAGCGAUGACAUUAGCUGCAGAAUAAGCACCGGCUAACUCUGUGCCAGCAGCCGCGGUAAUACAGAGGGUGCAAGCGUUAAUCGGAAUUACUGGGCGUAAAGCGAGCGUAGGUGGCUUGAUAAGUCAGAUGUGAAAUCCCCGGGCUUAACCUGGGAACUGCAUCUGAUACUGUUAAGCUAGAGUAGGUGAGAGGGAAGUAGAAUUCCAGGUGUAGCGGUGAAAUGCGUAGAGAUCUGGAGGAAUACCGAUGGCGAAGGCAGCUUCCUGGCAUCAUACUGACACUGAGGCUCGAAAGCGUGGGUAGCAAACAGGAUUAGAUACCCUGGUAGUCCACGCCG